UUGUCCUUGUGAUAUAUCUCAAAAGUUAUGGUUUUCAUCUAGAUAUUUCGUUUGUUGCACAAGAGGUAUAGUUUUGUUGCAAGGUUUGUCCCUGGUACUGAUGGUGUUGCAAAAUGCCAGUGAAGUCCAAGUGAAAUAUGACUAUUUUGCCCCUGUCUUAAACCCUAAUCAAACCAAUAGUGUAUCCUGUUCUUUGUAUAUGUGGGAUGUUCUGAGAACCUGGACUUGCAUUUAGCCCCAAUCACACUAGUGAAACUAAACCCAAAAGAUGUUGUAUCAUUUUCAAAACUUGUAACUUCAAAUCCUUUUGUUGAAUCAUAAUGUAGUAGUGUGUUUGGCUUUGCUCAACUUUUUGCAAAUUCUGUCUUGUUAUCAUAAUAACAGACCUAAACAUUUACCUCCAAUAACAUGAGUUUUUUUCUUUAUUCGAGUUUUUAAUCUUUCAUACUGAUGUAUGUAUUUGUGCCAUAUGAAUUGGUGCUUUUUAGGGAAGUGACAACCAAUCUCCCUUCUAUUUCUUUUCAUCCACCAAAACCAGAUGAUGUUGCUACAAGUGGACACCAAAGGUUUCUAUUUCUUAUUCACUAAUGUUUUUUUUUUUUUUUUUUCAAGUCUACGAAAGUUGAACCUUUUUUUUACCCAAACUAGAAAUUAUUCCUUUUCCUACAUUAGUGAAUAAGUCUUGAAAUUAAGUCCUAUCCAUCGGAUUUGUAAGUAAAUAAAUAUCAGUUGUUUCAUCAUUAUUUUCUACCCAUGUAGGUGACAAGGUUAUUGCUGAGGCAUUGAAACAAGCUAUACCCAUCUGUGUAAGUUUUUCACCUAAUUAUAUCAAAUAUAUAUUGUGAAGUUCAUAAUUUUAUCAUUUUAAAAUUAAUUAUUUAGCUUCUCUACCUAAUUUUGUACCAACAUGUGUGUAUGUUGUAAAGUUUUUAAAGUCCAUUGCUUCUCAUUCUUCCAUUUAAAUUACAUGGAUUUGAUUAUAAUGAAUGUGCAGGCUUUUUGGUUGUUUCUUCAAAGGACAAGGAUCCUUCCUAUCAAGUAAUAUGAUGGAUCCAAAGAUUCCAAAAAAAAAAAAAAAUUGUUUUUGUCCACAAAGAGCUUCUCACUCUAAAAAUAUCAAUUUCUUAUGAUUUAAAAGUAUCAAAUAUAUAUUGUGAAGUUCAUAAAGAGAAACACAUUUGCAAGAAUAUAAAACUUUUUUUUUUCAUAAAGUACAUUUGUUUUUCAAUCUUUUUCAUAAAGUAAAACCUGAAUGACUUGGAUUUUUUCAUAAAGUACAAUUUUCUGGAAAAAUAACAAUUCUAUAUAAGGUUUUGCUCAGAUUCUUCCAUGUUUUUCUAAAUUUUGGGUUUUAAUUUUUCCUGACUGAUGGGUUUGAUAUUUAUCAUAUCCAACUGAUUUUGGAAAAAAAACUUAUAUCAAUCAGGUUGUGUAUUGUUCCUGAUAUAAGGCAAAUAACCUUUUUUUUUUCUUUUUCUUUUUCUUUUUUAAUAAGUGCUGCACAGAUAUAGUGCUACCUGGAUAAUGACAUCUUAUAUUUUCUGGAUUUGUGUCUAUAUCUAUGAUUGACCUGAUAAAAAUUGCUUUCUUUUAGCAAAGAGUUGAAUCUAUUUGUUUUUUAAGUUGAAAAGUUCACUUAAUUUAAAAGUUAUUAAUGUCAAAUUCAUAAUUAAGUGACUUUGCAUGCUUUUCUUUUUACUCACUGAAAUUUAUGGAAUAUGGUUACAAAAAUGGAGAUUAUAAGUACUAACAGAUUCUCUUUACUUGUAUAGUGGAGGAGUUUUUUGCUACAGUUAAACAGCAUGUUCUUAUUGUCAGGUUGGUGGUUUAGGUCCUAAUGGGAGUCUUUUUUGCAAUUUUGGUCCUUAUUUCAUGGUUUCGUAACACUUUUGGUACCACGGUUGUCAACUAGAUGUUAAAUUUAUGAAAAUGACCAUUUUGUCCCUUUCAUCAUCAUCUCUUUCAUUUCCAUUUUCAAGGAGCAUGAUGAUAUUUCAACAAAGUUCUAUCUCUCCUUAAAAACAGAAUUAUCAUAUAUGUUGAAGGAGCAAAACUAAACCCUAAAUACCUACCUAAAAACAAAAUCUUUUUUAAAAUAUGGUACUCAUUUCUUGGUUUGAUAAUGUGUUUGGUCUCUGCGUCUCAACUUCAAACAGCCUAUAUGCUAAAUUUAUGAAAAAGACCAUUUUGCCAAUGUCUUUUUCAUCUCUUCCAUUUCCAUGUUUAAGGAGCAUAUUUUACCCUCAACAAAAUUCACCACUUCUCUUAAAAAAAUUAUUUGGCUUACGUUUAAGGAGCAUAACAACUUUAACAACACAGAUGUUAAAUAUUUGUACAUGACCAUUUUGCCCCCGUCUUCUUCUUCUCUUUCAUUUCUAUGUUCAAUCAAAUUAAAUAGACCCUAAACAAAAUUCAUCUCUUUCGUUUCCACAUUUAGAAGUUAUUGUUGUUUAUAACAACUCAUUUUUUGUUUCAGAGAUCAUCAGAAGAGGUGAUUGUUGUGAAUUACUUUCAGGACCCUCUUCUGACCAAGUUUUUCUUGGGAAAACAACUUUACAACUCUUUUGUGACAACCUUGUCACCAAGUUUUUUAUAUUUUGGUAAAAUUUAUGUAUUUACCCUUUUGGCUAAUUUUAACUAAAUCUGUUAAUGACAUGUAAUUCUAGGUUUGGGCAUUUUUAAUGGGAUCUUAUUCAUAAGAUUCAACAUACACAGAGAGGUGGUAUGUUAGAGUACAUGACUAUCAA
rnacentral:lncRNA from 1 species